GUCGUGGUGGCCGAGUGGUUAAGGCGUUGGACUUGAAAUCCAAUGGGGUUCCCCCGUGCAGGUUCGUAUCCUACCCGCGACG
rnacentral:tRNA from 1 species